UACGAAGGGGGCUAGCGUUGUUCGGAAUUACUGGGCGUAAAGCGCACGUAGGCGGGUUGUUAAGUCAGGGGUGAAAUCCCGGAGCUCAACUCCGGAACUGCCUUUGAUACUGGCAAUCUAGAGACUGGAAGAGGUUAGUGGAAUUCCCGGUGUAGUGGUGAAAUGCGUAGAUAUCGGGAGGAACACCAGUGGCGAAGGCGACUUCCUGGCCUGUUCUUGACGCUGAGGCGCGAAAGCUAGGGGAGCAAACGGG
rnacentral:rRNA from 1 species